AUUAAAAAUCUGCUAGAUUUUAGCAGAUCACGUGACCAGCGUCUACCAGGAUCUUUUCUCCGCAAGAGGAAAGACCCUGGGUACGAGGUUGGCGAUUCCAUUGAAUUUUCCCACUUUUUCCUCUUUCGCAGUGAGUACUAACUUCUACUUUUUCUACUCACUGGUGAAGCGAAUUUUUUUUCUCGCGAAGCCUAAUUUAUCUUUACUGCGCAUGUACGCAACUUCAUUUCGCGCGAACUACCUGAGCGCUGAUUGGUCGAGAAGCGUGUUACUUUCUAUAUGAAUUGUAAAGAAACACUGGAAAAUUUGCAGCCUCGCACCUCUUUUAAAUUUCAGUGAAAAUAUAAAACAAUA